UUAACUGAGGGCUGCUGAUAACCACAGUAUUUCAUACAUGGAUGAUUCCCAGUAAACACUGGUGGUAAUAGUGGUGAGAAUGCUGUUUCUUCUGCCCUGGGAAGAGACACACUGAAUAUCUCCUACACAUCAUCCAAGUCACCUGUGACUGCAGCCACUGAAAGCAGUCAGGGUGGGCUGAGGUUUGCAGUUGGGGAAGUCCAGUAACCUCUUUCCUCUUGAAGGACACACCCCUAGCAAAGUCCUGGAGAAUGUGGUUUUCGACUGUUUUAAUAUUCCUUCCCAUGAUUCCCCUUUUCUAUCUGUUACAUUUCCUUCUCCCUACCUCUUUCUUCCCAUGUUUUCCAAAAGCCUCCCAGCAUGUAUAUCAAAGGACUAUAAAUGGCAUCAAAUAAAUCUAUGGUUCUUAAACCAUAUUAAAAAGUGUUUUAGUAUGGAAAAUUUCAAAUAUACACAAAAGUAGAAAUCAUGCCUAUGUCCAUAUUACUUACUCUCAUCAAUUGCCCAAAAUUUGCCAAACUUGUUUCAACUAUUCCCCCUUUGAACUCUUCCUUUUGAGUAUUUUAAAACACAUUCUAGACAUCAUUGAAUCUCUGAGAAGGAAUUUUUUAAAAACACAAUCUCUUAACACAAACAACUUAACAAAUUAACAAUAGUUCCUUAAUAUCAUCUAACAUUCAAUUCACGUUCAAGUUUCUCCAGCCACCUCAGAAAUGUAUUUUUAUAAUUGCUUUGACUCAGAAACAAAACAAGGUGUAGGUCUAUUGUACUUGGUUGAUAUAUUUCUCAAGUUUUUUUCAAAGUAAUAAAAAGGAAGCGAUGGAUUCCUCAUGCGUGCACAGAGGGAACUAGGAGGGACCUACAAAGAGCACCCCAGCCCUUUCCCUGUGAU
rnacentral:lncRNA from 1 species